UUGGGCGUAAGAGCUCGUAGGCGGUUUGUCGCGUCUGCUGUGAAAGACCGGGGCUCAACUCCGGUUCUGCAGUGGGUACGGGCAGACUAGAGUGCAGUAGGGGAGACUGGAAUUCCUGGUGUAGCGGUGAAAUGCGCAGAUAUCAGGAGGAACACCGAUGGCGAAGGCAGGUCUCUGGGCUGUAACUGACGCUGAGGAGCGAAAGCAUGGGGAGCGAACAGGAUUAGAUACCCUGGUAGUCCAUGCCGUAAACGUUGGGCACUAGGUGUGGGGGACAUUCCACGUUUUCCGCGCCGUAGCUAACGCAUUAAGUGCCCCGCCUGGGGAGUACGGCCGCAAGGCUAAAACUCAAAGGAAUUGACGGGGGCCCGCACAAGCGGCGGAGCAUGCGGAUUAAUUCGAUGCAACGCGAAGAACCUUACCAAGGCUUGACAUGAACCGGAAAGACCUGGAAACAGGUGCCCCGCUUGCGGUCGGUUUACAGGUGGUGCAUGGUUGUCGUCAGCUCGUGUCGUGAGAUGUUGGGUUAAGUCCCGCAACGAGCGCAACCCUCGUUCUAUGUUGCCAGCGCGUUAUGGCGGGGACUCAUAGGAGACUGCCGGGGUCAACUCGGAGGAAGGUGGGGACGACGUCAAAUCAUCAUGCCCCUUAUGUCUUGGGCUUCACGCAUGCUACAAUGGCCGGUACAAAGGGUUGCGAUACUGUGAGGUGGAGCUAAUCCCAAAAAGCCGGUCUCAGUUCGGAUUGGGGUCUGCAACUCGACCCCAUGAAGUCGGAGUCGCUAGUAAUCGCAGAUCAGCAACGCUGCGGUGAAUACGUUCCCGGGCCUUGUACACACCGCCCGUCAAGUCACGAAAGUUGGUAACACCCGAAGCCGGUGGCUAACCCUUGUGGGGGGAGCCGUCGAAGGUGGGACCGGCGAUUGGGACGAAGUCG
rnacentral:rRNA from 1 species